GGGCCUGUAGCUCAAUGGCGGAGCAGGCGGCUCAUAACCGCUUGGUUGAAGGUUCGAAUCCUUCCGGGCCCA
rnacentral:tRNA from 4 species